GGGUGGUGGGAAAGUCAAUGCCGAGUGUUGGGUUUCGUGGGAAAAUUCUUGACCUCCUACUGAACCCUACUUGCCUCCAGAGGAAUCUAGACCCCUUCGUAUUUCCCCUCCUAUACUCUUUAAAAAACACUUCAAUUGAGUCACUCCAUCAUAUCGCAAGCAGUGUCUCCUCCCACAUUUCUGAUGUUCCAGCCUCAGCAUCUGUUCUCACCCUGUUUAUCAAGUCCAUAUAAGGUCAGAACUCUGCGGUCUCUUUCCUCUGGUGAGUCUGGGAGCAUUUGCUCUGGCCUGGAACUCUCAGAAGGCAGCAUCUGUUUGUGAUUGCUUGAGCCUGAUUGGAGCUCUGCACUCCAGCUGUCUGAACGCAUUCAGGUGUUGAAUGCACUGACUAGGACUUGAAGAGGCAAAAAACAACAUCGGGUGCAUGAGUGCAUUAAUGCGAUAAAGUGCACGGAUCCAUAGUCAUGCAGGUCCAAGGUAAGGACAAGAAAUCAGACCCCAGAAGCCUCCUUCAUGACUUCUCCACAUCACAUUUGGCUGCAAGGCAGUGGAGGAUAAUGUGGCUGGAGAUAAAGGGUCGAAAGCAGGAGCAGUUCCCAGUGCGUCCUAUGGAGCCGAAACAUCUGCACAGACACGCAUCAAGAUUCUCCGUGCUAUGCCAGAGAUAACACACAGACACCAA